GUCUAUAGCUUUUGCUUGUUUUCAAUUCAAAUGCUUUAGAAGAGAAAAAACUUCUUUAUAAGAAGGUUGGUUGCAGCUGUGGGUGACUAUAAUCUAUAUGAAAGAACAUGUUUACAUCUGAUAAAUUCAGUACUAAACCUUUAGCAAGAUGAAGACCGAUGCAAGUAAACCGGUACUCCAAAAUUUGGGUAUAGAUAAAAAUGUCCAAUUUGGUAAUCUGCGGAGUAGAUCACGAAAUGGAAGAUGAUGGCAAUGAAGAACUAGACCUUAAUUGAGAUGAGUUUUGAAUUGCUAUAGAUGAAUGUUGAAUUGCUAUAGAUGAAUGUUCUAGGGAAUCUUUUGUUAUCAACAUUUUUAAACUUACUAUCUUGAAAUGUAUUAAACUUAUGCACU